GAUGAAGAACGCAGCGAAAUGCGAUAAGUAAUGUGAAUUGCAGAAUUCAGUGAAUCAUCGAAUCUUUGAACGCACAUUGCGCCCGCCAGUAUUCUGGCGGGCAUGCCUGUCCGAGCGUCAUUUCAACCCUCAAGCCCCAGCCGGCUUGGUGUUGGGGACCGGCCCCGGCCGCCCCCCAAAUGCAGUGGCGACCUCGCCGCAGCCUCCCCUGCGUAGUAGCACAACCUCGCACCGGAGCGCGGAGACGGUCACGCCGUAAAACGCCCAACUUCUCAGAGUUGACCUCGGAUCAGGUAGGAAUACCCGCUGAACUUAAGCAUAUCAAUAAGCGGAGGA
rnacentral:misc_RNA from 1 species